rnacentral:rRNA from 1 species
AAGUCGUAACAAGGUUUCCGUAGGUGAACCUGCGGAAGGAUCAUUGCCGUGACCCUUAAACAAAACAGACCGUGAACAAGUCCCCAAAGGCCCCCGAGCUCCUUCAUGGCGCGGAGGGGCCGCAACAGAACCCACGGCGCCUUAGGCGUCAAGGAAAACUCACGCUGCCUCGCACGGCGGAGCGGUCGGCCCGCCUUCCGCUCCCCGCGCGACGACACGACCUUAACCAACAUGACUCUCGGCAACGGAUAUCUCGGCUCUCGCAUCGAUGAAGAACGUAGCAAAAUGCGAUACCUGGUGUGAAUUGCAGAAUCCCGCGAACCAUCGAGUUUUUGAACGCAAGUUGCGCCCGAGGCCUUUCUGGCCGAGGGCACGUCUGCCUGGGCGUCACGCCAAAAGACACUCCCAACCCAAACAUCGGGGAGGGACGUGGUGUAUGGACACCCCGCGCCACGAGGCGCGGUGGGCCGAAGUUGGGGCUGCCGGCGACAACGGGCCGGGCACAGCACGAUGUGGGAGACACCUCGGUUCCUCUCGGUGCAGCGCCCCGGCACGUGGCCAGCGAAUGGACCCUAAGGACCUAGCGAGCACCGCAGCGCAUCGCCGCUCGGACCGCGACCCCAGGUCAGUCGGGACU